GUUUCAGGAUGAUUCAAGGGCAUUUCAUUUAUUGUGCACUUUAUUUCUAUUAUUAUUACGUUGUAAUAUAUAAGGAAGUAAUUAUACCCCUCACCAUAAUGUAGAAUCAGUAGGAGCCCUGACCUUGUUUUCCUGCAAUGCGACGGCGGCGACAGAUCAUCAGGCAUCAGGUUCUCAUAAAGAGCGCACAGCCUAGAUCCCUUGCAUGCGGGGUUCACAGCAGAGUUCGUGCUCCUGUGAGAAUCUAACGCCGGCACUAAUCUGACCUGAGUGGCGCUCUGGUGGUCACGUGAGCAACGGGGAAGCGGCCGUAAGAACAGAUGAAGCUUCACUAGCUCCCCAGCCGCUCGUCUCCUGCUGUGUGGCCUGAGAUCAAUACUGGCCAACACAUGAUGGGACAUUUUUCUUGACCCUCUCCAAUGUGAAUUACUUCCUUUUAUAUGGAAGAUUGUGAGCCCUUUGAAGACCUGAUGGAAGCUAUUGGACAGUAGAAGACACAGAGUGUACAUGCAGAAUAACUGUUGAUUGUGCUGGGAGUGCAACAACUUGAGAUAAGAAGGAACUGGCUGGAACAGUCCAAGGUCUCUCCCUGUCCCUCCUAGAACAAGAUGUCCUGCAACACUUGUGCUCAGUGAGUCAACUUCCCCUAGGUAUAAAACCUAGAGUGGAGCAUCUUUUGGCGUCCCUUGGCUGUGGUGCUGCCUAGGGCAUGUGCAGAUGGACUCUACCCACCCUGGCCAGCUUGCCUGAGCCUUGUCGGGGAGCAGGGACCCUAGGCUCCUGCUGUCCCCUGAUGCCGAUCCGCGAAUAAUAAAGUUGCUUUUCUUAA
rnacentral:lncRNA from 1 species